AAAAGAUCUAGAUACUCAUCAGAUUUAUUCAUUGCUAAUAAGAGUCCCCAUUUAAUAUUGUAGCAAAGGCAAGAUGAAGGCAGGAUCAAGGCAGAUAAAUUUCAAACGUGAGAGCGUAGACCGUUGGUGUUUCUCAAUUGUGGCUACACAUUCUAACACAUUCAAAUUUUUUUAAAAAGUGAAGCUUAGGCCCUAUCCCUUAGAAAUUCAGAUUUAACUAUUUGGAGUGGGCCCCAGACAUCUAUAUUUUAACUUUCUUUUCUUCUUUUUUUUUUUUCAGAUGGAGUCUUGCUCUGUUGCCUAGGCUGGAGUGCAGUGGUGCGACCUUGGCUCAUUGCAACUUCUGCCUCUCAGGUUCAGGUUCCAGAUGUUCAGGCAGAUAACCUCAGGAGCACAGAUAGCCUCCAGGAGCCGGGGCCCUGGGGCGUGACUGCCCUCAACGCUCUUUCUGGCGGCAGACACAGCUUGUCAGUUUGCCAACAUCCUGCUCUCAUGAGGACAGUUUUCUGUUUGCUCCUAUAGCCUGCAGAGGCAUAUUGAGUUGGUCACACCGCACAUUGUUGGGGUCACCAGCAUCUCCCCCUUUUAGUUUUUGAAUUAAUUGAAUGAAGAUGAAGACCAUGAUGCCUAUUUCACAAGAAUAUUGUGAUGAUUGCAUGAGAAGAUCCUCACAAAAUAUGUAGUCAACAAAUGCUGCUUGUCACCUCUGUUCUGUCAAUGCUGGCAGAGUCCUGGUACUCUCCAUUCACUAGGAGUUUUGAGGACAGGAAUGGUCCUAGAAGAGAAUCAGAACAAUGGUCUGCGUGUUUUCCCUGGAACUGGCACUGGGUUAAUAUCCUACAAAUGGGAGACAUGUGUCCCCUGGUCUCAUACCUGGAAUAUCAAAAUGAUACUCCAUUAACAGUGUCAAAGCAAAAGUCUGAUGGCUCGGCCUGCUCUGGUGUGGCGAAGUCUAGUUUGCUGUUUAGUCUCUCUAUCCCUCUCCUGGAUGUUGACUCUACAGUUCUCUAUCCCUAGUAGCUUCCCACGCUGCCUGUAAAAUGGAGUGCAGGACCACUACAUAGAAACAGGAAGAUUCUGCCCUGUACUCUCAGGUCCCAAGAACACAAUCACAAGCAAACUGUUUUUUUGUUGUUGUUGUUUGCUUGUUUGUUUGUGACAGCGUCUCACUCUUGGUGCCCAGGCUGGAGUGCAAUGGUGUGAUCUCAGCUCACUGCAACCUCCACCUCACCGGUUCAAGCAAUUCUCUUGCCUCAGCCUCCUGAGUAGCUGGGAUUACAGGCACCCGCCACCACACCCAGCUAAGUUUGUAUUUUUAGUAGAGACGGGGUUUCACCAUGUUGGUCAGGCUGGUCUCAAACUCCUUACCUCAGGUGAUCCACCCACUUCAGCCUUGCAAAAUGCUGGAAUUACAGGCAUGCGCCACUGUGCCCGCCCCAUUUUUUAAUUCUCAUUGUGUCCAUGCCCUUGCACAUUUCACGUGAAUCAUAUCACAUAACCCUGACAAUAAACUACAAAGUAAGCAACUAAUUAUCCCCA
rnacentral:lncRNA from 13 species